rnacentral:rRNA from 1 species
UACGAAGGGGGCUAGCGUUGCUCGGAAUCACUGGGCGUAAAGGGUGCGUAGGCGGGUUUUUAAGUCAGGGGUGAAAGCCUGGAGCUCAACUCCAGAACUGCCUUUAAGACUGCAUCGCUUGAAUCCAGGAGAGGUGAGUGGAAUUCCGAGUGUAGAGGUGAAAUUCGUAGAUAUUCGGAAGAACACCAGUGGCGAAGGCGGCUCACUGGACUGGUAUUGACGCUGAGGUGCGAAAGCGUGGGGAGCAAACAGG